AAGUCCUUACUUCUUAGAAUCAUUUCUUUAGUAAGCUCUUGACGCAACUUCUCACAAUUUGUCGGAAACUUCCAUCAGCCAUGAUGAAGAAACUUGGCGCGUCACCCUGAGCCUGGGACGGGCUAUGACAAACGGGAUUAGCAUACGAUAAUCGUUCACUUUUCCGCUAAUGGGACAGCGUGAUGUAUCGACGCCGUCGGAAUGGC